rnacentral:lncRNA from 1 species
UGUCUUCCUAUCCAUGUGAAUUUGUUAAAACUAAUGUUUACGACAAAUUCAAACUCAUAUGGACCGAACUUUCUUAAUCUCGAUUUCUUGCCUUAUGGUAGCACAGCUACCCACCAUGUCUUCCAAGCAGUUAAGCAGCUCACCUUUUCUUAUCAAUGUACUUUCCAUUGAUCAAGGUCAUUGCCUUAUAUGCAUUCAAAUGAGAACUCAUAGGACUCACAUGCAUGAUUAACUCGAUUGGAUCGGCAUAGAAACAAAAUAAUGUCAACACGAUAGGUUGUAAACCUCAACUCGUGUGCUAGUGAUGAUCGAUAAACACGUCAUCGUCGGGUACGGUGGGCAUACCCAAGGUUAUGCCGGGCGUAAUCGGUCCAGACCCAAAACCCUAAUUUGAGUUGUUGGCUAUAAAUGAAAUGAGAUGGCUUGGUUCCUCAGCCACCAUCCUUCACAAAGAAACCCUAAGAGAGUUGUUCCUUCGUUCAUAGCUUGUUUGUGAGCAUUCUAAGCUUUGAGGUGACCUUUCAAGGUAGCAAAAGGAAAGAGGAGUCCAUUAUGGAGGCUAGAAGUUGGUGUGCAAGUGUAGAUCCGUGAUAAGCAAAGGUUGGAGCUUCUUCCUAAGGUAAAAAGUUCAGAUCUUGCCUUGUAGUUCUUAUGGUAUGCUUCAUGGACCAAUUUCUAGGGUUUUGGUCCCAAAGAUGGAGACUUUAUGAGCACGUAGUCUCCAUUGGCUUAGAUAUACCAUAUUCCAGGUCCAUUUGAGUUGUAUGUUCAUAAAAAUGUGAUCUUGGAUGUAUAUAUUUAGCCAUGCAUGAGAUAUAGGUCUUUGGAGGUGCAAAGGAAGGUGUUAGAGGGUGUAGGAGCCUUUACAUCCAUGCCAAGGCUUAAAGGUUCCGACUUUAUGGAUUAGGAGGCUUAAAGAGAGCCAGAUUUGGAAGUUGAAGGAGUGUCUUAACCAUUUAAGACAAGAAAUAUGGUAUGGCUGAAUCUGGGAUUUACGCUGCGCGUAACUCCCAGUACGCGUAUCGUAAGGGGUUGCGACCCCCGAUUGUGACUCAUUGAUGUACGCCCCACGUACAGAAGCUGGUACGCCCCGCGUACUAUGGUCAUUUGACUUUCGUUGACUUUUGGGGUAUGGUCAAUAUAAGUCAAGGAAGGGUAAAAUGGUCUUUUACCUCUCUGUGCAAUAAUGAUAAGGGUGUAGCCUAGUCUUGAAAGUCUAUAUUAAUUAGAAUGAUAUUUCGUUAUGCUUAGGCGGGGUUGGGUCUUCGUUUCGAGAUUCGGAGAUAGCAAGCACGUGAGAUUCUAGACUUCCUGCGAGGUGAGUUUUCUCACUAUACUAUACCCGGAAGGGUAUUUACGUGUGACCGAGAGGUCGGAUAUGUUAUGAGUUUUUAUGCAUUGAACAUGAUAAGUUAACCAUUUGUAUGUGUUGUGUAUGUUAUGCUUAAUAUGGACCGGAAGGCAUUAUGUUAUGGGCCGGAAGGCAUUUUAUGUUAUGGGCUGGAAGGCAUUGUGUUGUUGACCGGAAGGUCGACGCGGGUGGGACCGGAAGGUUUCCCGGGUCGGGACGAAAGUCCCCUGAGACACAUGGACUAGAAGGUCAUGGUCUGGAAAGACGUAUGUGGGUAAGCAGUAUUUUGGGGAACUCACUAAGCAUUUAUGCUUACAGUUGUUGUGUAUGUGUUUCAGGUACUAGCGAGGACCGUUGGAAGGCGCCGGCAUGAUCUGUACACACUGAUGGAGGAUUUAUGAUCUUGGGAUUUUUAUGAUUUGUAUUAUGAUAUGAUACAUUGGAUCUUUAUGACUUGUUUUGGAUGAAAACAUGUUUCUAAGAAAUGAAAAUUUUGUUUUGAAAAUUUACGUUGUUACAAGUUGGUAUCAAAGCCUUGGUUUGAGGGAUUCGAGUACACCUUCGAGCAUAACUGAACUCAAACCGAGGAUUUGAGAAAAUUUUUCAAAAAAAAAAAAAUAAAGGCAUAAAAUUUUAAAAGGGAUUUCGUGAUAACCAAGGAUGAAGCAGUGUGUACGGUCAGCCAACGCCCGAACGGGAAAAUCCCCAACAUACCCUUACAAUAUGUGUUAUGAGAAAUGUUAUGAUAUGUUAUGCAUGCUAGAGUAGACUAGGCAUUCAUAUUAGGACUAGAGUGGCCUGAUUUGUGAUGCCUUAGUCUAAGGGAAACCUGCUGCUAUGUGAUGCUUUGAGAGUGAGUAGGUAGCCAGUGCUUAGCAACAAUAGACUACUCGUGAUCCGGGGUCCAAGGAGGAGGACUUGGGGUGAAUGCUGAUGCGGUGUAGUCAGUAGUAUAGGGCCCGUACUACUGAAGACACCAGAUCAGUGGGCAGUCCAAGUAAUAAUCCUUUGGGUAUUGGAGGUCGAGUAGGGUUGUGUUAUCGAGUGCGAGUAUGCUCGAUUGGGUCUCUAAUAUUUUUAUGUUGUAUUUCAGAGGCAUCAUGGUUGGGACACGCCAUAGACCUGGGACGAGCGGUGUGAGUGACGAGGAGCUUCAUCAGAUGAUCCAUGAUGAGGUGGUUGUAGCAAUCUGGGUCGAGAUUCCGGAGAUGUUUGGGUCUAUCAAGACCACGCUGUUGGAGACUUUUGAUGGGCGGUACGCCGCGGUGACUGAGGCUGCGGCCACUGCAGCUACAGUAGUUGUGGCUGCUGCCAGACCUCAGGGAGGUGACUCGUUGUUGUUCUGGGAGUUCAGCAACACGAAGCCACCCAAGUUUGAUGGGACGCAGGACCCAAUCGCUGCGAUGCGAUGGAUUGCUGACAUUGAGGGAUGCUUCUACACGUGUUCAUGUCCGGAGCAUCUGAGGGUGCGGUUCGCUUUGAACCAGCUCCGCCUGGGAGUGAAGGAUUGGUGGAAGUUCGUGACGGAGAACUUCACUCUUGAGGAGAUUUCAGCGGUGACUUGGGAAAAAUUCACCACCAUGUUCAGAGAUGAGUAUGUUCCCCCGGUGGAGAGGGAAUGACUGGUUCAGGAGUUCUUCACCCUUAAGCAGGGUAAUGAUUCAGUUGUUGUGGUCACCCGGAAGUUUCAUGAGAGGGCGAUGUUCUGCCCUGAGCAGGCACAGAUGAGCCGAUAUUUGGGUAUAUUGAGGAGGGACAUUCAGGAGUUCGUAUCGAACUCGACAUAUCGGACAUUUAUUGAGCUCCAGGCAAAUGACUGCAAGAGGGAGAUCGAGUUGGAGACUCAGGCCAGGGAGGAGGCCGAGUCUCAGUGGGUGGAUCGGNCAAAGAAACCCUAAGAGAGUUGUUCCUUCGUUCAUAGCUUGUUUGUGAGCAUUCUAAGCUUUGAGGUGACAUUUCAAGGUAGCAAAAGGAAAGAGGAGUCCAUUAUGGAGGCUAGAAGUUGGUGUGCAAGUGUAGAUCCGUGAUAAGCAAAGGUUGGAGCUUCUUCCUAAGGUAAAAAGUUCAGAUCUUGCCUUGUAGUUCUUAUGGUAUGCUUCAUGGACCAAUUUCUAGGGUUUUGGUCCCAAAGAUGGAGACUUUAUGAGCACGUAGUCUCCAUUGGCUUAGAUAUACCAUAUUCCAGGUCCAUUU